UACGGAGGGUGCGAGCGUUGUCCGGAAUCACUGGGCGUAAAGGGCUCGUAGGCGGCCAACUAAGUCAGACGUGAAAUCCCUCGGCUUAACCGGGGAACUGCGUCUGAUACUGGAUGGCUUGAGUUCGGGAGAGGGAUGCGGAAUUCCAGGUGUAGCGGUGAAAUGCGUAGAUAUCUGGAGGAACACCGGUGGCGAAGGCGGCAUCCUGGACCGAUACUGACGCUGAGGAGCGAAAGCCAGGGGAGCAAACGGG
rnacentral:rRNA from 1 species